GUGGGGAAUUUUGGACAAUGGGCGCAAGCCUGAUCCAGCAAUGCCGCGUGCAGGAAGAAGGCCUUCGGGUUGUAAACUGCUUUUGUACGGAACGAAAAGGCUCUGGUUAAUACCUGGGGCUCAUGACGGUACCGUAAGAAUAAGCACCGGCUAACUACGUGCCAGCAGCCGCGGUAAUACGUAGGGUGCAAGCGUUAAUCGGAAUUACUGGGCGUAAAGCGUGCGCAGGCGGUUUUGUAAGACAGACGUGAAAUCCCCGGGCUCAACCUGGGAAUGGCGUUUGAGACUGCAAAGCUGGAGUGCGGCAGAGGGGGAUGGAAUUCCGCGUGUAGCAGUGAAAUGCGUAGAUAUGCGGAGGAACACCGAUGGCGAAGGCAAUCCCCUGGGCCUGCACUGACGCUCAUGCACGAAAGCGUGGGGAGCAAACAGGAUUAGAAACCCUGGUAGUCC
rnacentral:rRNA from 1 species